rnacentral:rRNA from 1 species
GACGAACGCUGGCGGCGUGCUUAACACAUGCAAGUCGAACGGAAAGGCCCUGCUUUUGCGGGGUGCUCGAGUGGCGAACGGGUGAGUAACACGUGAGUAUCCUGCCCCUGACUUUGGGAUAACUUCAGGAAACUGGGGCUAAUACCGGAUAGGAGCUCCUGCUGCAUGGGGGGGGUUGGAAAGUUUCGGCGGUUGGGGAUGGACUCGCGGCUUAUCCGCUUGUUGGUGGGGUAGUGGCUUACCAAGGGUUUGACGGGUAGCCGGCAUGGGAGGUUGACCGGCGUCCUGGCGCCUAAGGGAGGGCCCAGACGCCUACGGGAGGCAGCGGGGGGGAAUAUUGCACAACGGGCGGACGCCUGAUGCGGAAACGCCGCGUGCGGGAUGACGGCCUUCUAGUUGUGAACCGCUUUGGACUGUGACGAAGCGUGAGUGACGGUAAUGAGUAAAGAAGCACCGGCUAACUACGUG